rnacentral:ncRNA from 1 species
AUUACGGGAGAGACCUCGCUUUGAGGCGCCGAAGGGGCAGAGGAUGCAUAAACUCUCAGGCAAAAGGACCGUA